rnacentral:rRNA from 1 species
AACGAACGCUGGCGGCACGCCUAACACAUGCAAGUCGAACGGGUAGCAAUACCAGUGGCGGACGGGUGAGUAACACGUGGGAAUCUGCCUAUCGGGGGGGGACAACGUCUGGAAACGGACGCUAAUACCGCAUACGCUCGAAAGGGGAAGGAUUUAUCGCAGAUAGAUGAGCCCGCGCCUGAUUAGUUAGUUGGUGGGGUAAUGGCCUACCAAGAAGAUGAUCAGUAGCUGUUCUGAGAGGAAGACCAGCCACACCGGAACUGAGACACGGUCCGGACUCCUACGGGAGGCAGCAGUGGGGAAUAUUUGACAAUGGGGGAAACCCUGAUCGAGCGAUGCCGCGUGAGUGAUGAAGGCCUUCGGGUUGUAAAGCUCUUUAGCCGAUGAAGAUAAUGACGGUAAUCGGAGAAUAAGCACCGGCAAACUUCGUGCCAGCAGCCGCCGUAA